NGGGAAUAUUGCACAAUGGGGCGCAAGCCUGAUGCAGCCAUGCCGCGUGUGUGAAGAAGGCCCUUGGGUUGUAAAGCACUUUCAGCGGGGAGGAAGGCGGUGAGGUUAAUAACCUCAUCGAUUGACGUUACCCGCAGAAGAAGCACCGGCUAACUCCGCGCCAG
rnacentral:rRNA from 1 species